rnacentral:rRNA from 1 species
GUGCCAGCAGCCGCGGUAAUACGAAAGGGGCUAGCGUUGUUCGGAUUUACUGGGCGUAAAGGGCACGCAGGCGGUCUUGCCAGUCAGGGGUGAAAGCCCGGGGCUCAACCCCGGAACUGCCUCUGAUACUGCAAGACUAGAGACUAGGAGAGGGUGGUGGAAUUCCCAGUGUAGAGGUGAAAUUCGUAGAUAUUGGGAGGAACACCAGAGGCGAAGGCGGCCACCUGGACUAGAUCUGACGCUCAGGUGCGAAAGCGUGGGGAGCAAACAGGAUUAGAUACCCUGGUAGUCC